GGGCUGUAGCUCAGUUGGUAGAGAAUUUGCCUCAUAUGCACAAGGUCCUGAGUUCAAUCUCCAGCCCCA
rnacentral:tRNA from 1 species